rnacentral:rRNA from 1 species
GAGUUGGGAUAACUUCGCGAAAGCGAAGCUAAUACCGGAUACGAUGGUUCAUCGCAUGGUGGAUUAAUCAAAGAUGGGGAGCCGCAAGGUCCUGUCGCUUGAAGAGGAGCCCGCGUCCUAUCAGCUUGUUGGUGAGGUAACGGCUCACCAAGGCUUACGGGUAGCUGGUCUGAGAGGAUGGUCAGCCGCACUGGGACUGAGACACUGCCCAGACUCCUACGGGAGGCUGCAGUCGAGGAUCAUUCGCAAUGGGCGCAAGCCUGACGAUGCGACGCUGCGUGGAGGAUGAAGGCCUUCGGGUCGUAAACUCCUGUCAUUCGGGAACAAUAAACUGGUCAUUAAUACUGGCUGGAAUUGAUAGUACCGGAAGAGGAAGCCACGGCUAACUCUGUGCCAGCAGCCGCGGUAAUACAGAGGUGGCGAGCGUUGUUCGGAUUUACUGGGCGUAAAGGGUGCGUAGGUGGCUUUGUGUGUCGGGCGUGAAAGCCCACUGCUCAACGGUGGAAUGCCGUCCGAAACUACAAAGCUUGAGUGCAGGAGAGGAGAGCGGAAUACUUGGUGUAGCGGUGGAAUGCGUUGAGAUCAAGUAGAACACCGGUGGCGUAGGCGGCUCUCUGGAAUGCAACUGACACUGAGGCACGAAAGUUGGGGGAGCAAACAGGAUUAGAUACCCUGGUAGUCCCAACCUUAAACGGUGUACACUUGGUGUAGGAGGAAUUGACCCCUUCUGUGCCGGAGCUAACGCGUUAAGUGUACCGCCUGGGGAGUACGGUCGCAAGAUUAAAACUCAAAGAAAUUGACGGGGGCCCGCACAAGCGGAGGAGCAUGUGGCUUAAUUCGAUGCAACGCGAAGAACCUUACCAGGGCUUGACAUGCAGCUGCACGUCCCAUGAAAGUGGGAUUCCUUCGAGGGUGCUGCACAGGUGCUGCAUGGCUGUCGUCAGUUCGUGCCGUGAGGUGUUGGGUUAAGUCCCGCAACGAACGCAACCCCUAUAUUUAGUUGCCAGUGCCGGAAACGGUACGCACUCUAAAUAGACUGCCCGUGAUAAGCGGGAGGAAGGUGGGAUGACGUCAAGUCAGUAUGGCCUUUAUGCCCUGGGCUGCACACGUGCUACAAUGGUCGGUACAGAGGGAAGCAAGACCGCGAGGUGGAGCAAAUCCCAUAAAACCGGCCCCAGUUCAGAUUGAAGGCUGCAACUCGCCUUCAUGAAGUUGGAUUCGCUAGUAACGGCGCAUCAGCUACGGCGCCGUGAAUACGUUCCCGGGCCUUGUACACACCGCCCGUCACAUCAUGAAAGCCGUCUGCACCCGACGUCGCUGCUCCAACCUGCAAGGGGGGAAGGCGCCUAAGGUGUGGGUGGUGAUUGGGAUGAAGUCGUAACAAGGUA